CUGCAGCCAAUUAAGCCAAUCGCCAGUUUCUUUCCUCAUGAGGUCUGGUGUGCAAUGGCUGUGAAUAGCAGCUUCUUUGGUUGUGGACGUAACCUUUUGCUUGUACAGAUUGCCCUAAGGGACCUUGGAGAUAGUU
ensembl:snoRNA SNORA70 Small nucleolar RNA SNORA70